GACGAACGCUGGCGGCGUGCUUAACACAUGCCAGUCGAACGGAAAGGCCCUGCGUUUGUGGUGUUCUCGAGUGGCGAACGGGGGAGUAACACGUGAGUAACCUGCCCUUGACUUUGGGGUAACUUCAGGAAACUGGGGCUAAGACCGGAUAGGAUCUCCUGCUGCAUGGAGGGGGGUGGAAAGUUUCGGCGGGUGGGGAUGGACUCGCGGCUGAUCAGCUUGUUGGUGGGGUAGUGGCUUCCCAAGGCAGUGACGGGUAGCCGGCCUGGGAGGGUGGCCGGCCACCUUGCGACUGCGAGAGGGACCAGAGUCGAAUGGGAGGCAGCAGUGGGGAACCUUGCACAAUGGGCCCGCGUGUGAGGCAGCAACGCUGCGUGCGGGAUGACGGCCUUCGGGUUGUAAACCGCUUUAGCCUGUGACGAAGCGUGAGUGACGGUACUGGGUAAAGAAGCACCGGCUAACUACGUG
rnacentral:rRNA from 1 species